GAGGACGACCAGCCACACCGGAACUGAGACACGGUCCGGACUCCUACGGGAGGCAGCAAUGGGGAAUAUUGCGCAAUGGGCGAAAGCCUGACGCAGCGACGCCGCGUGGGGGAUGAAGGCCUUCGGGUUGUAAACCCCUUUCAGCAGGGACGAAGCGAAAGUGACGGUACCUGCAGAAGAAGCGCCGGCUAACUACGUGCCAGCAGCCGCGGUAACACGUAGGGCGCAAGCGUUGUCCGGAAUUAUUGGGCGUAAAGAGCUCGUAGGCGGUCUGUUGCGUCCGCUGUGAAAACUCGGGGCUUAACCCCGAGCUUGCAGUGGAUACGGGCAGACUAGAGGUAGGUAGGGGGAGAAUGGAAUUCCCGGUGUAGCGGUGAAAUGCGCAGAUAUCGGGAGGAACACCGGUGGCGAAAGCGGUUCUCUGGGCCUUACCUGACGCUGAGGAGCGAAAGCGUGGGAGCGAACAGGAUUAGAUACCCUGGUAGUCCACGCCGUAAACGUUGGGCGCUAGGUGUGGGAUCCUUCCACGGAUUCCGUGCCGCAGCUAACGCAUUAAGCGCCCGCCUGGGGAGUACGGCCGCAAGGCUAAA
rnacentral:rRNA from 1 species